GACGAACGCUGGCGGCGUGCCUAAUACAUGCAAGUAGAACGCUGAAGGAGGAGCUUGCUUCUCCGGAUGAGUUGCGAACGGGUGAGUAACGCGUAGGUAACCUGCCUGGUAGCGGGGGAUAACUAUUGGAAACGAUAGCUAAUACCGCAUAACAGUAGAUAUUGCAUGAUAUCUGCUUAAAAGGUGCAAUUGCAUCACUACCAGAUGGACCUGCGUUGUAUUAGCUAGUUGGUGGGGUAACGGCUCACCAAGGCGACGAUACAUAGCCGACCUGAGAGGGUGAUCGGCCACACUGGGACUGAGACACGGCCCAGACUCCUACGGGAGGCAGCAGUAGGGAAUCUUCGGCAAUGGACGGAAGUCUGACCGAGCAACGCCGCGUGAGUGAAGAAGGUUUUCGGAUCGUAAAGCUCUGUUGUAAGAGAAGAACGAGUGUGAGAGUGGAAAGUUCACAC
rnacentral:rRNA from 1 species